rnacentral:rRNA from 1 species
UCGGCUUAGAGUUUGAUCAUGGCUCAGAUUGAACGCUGGCGGCAGGCUUAACACAUGCAAGUCGAACGGUAGAAGAGCUUGCUCUUGACGAGUGGCGGACGGGUGAGUAAUGUAUGGGGAUCUGCCAAGUGGAAGGGGACAACAGUUGGAAACGACUGCUAAUACCGUAUAAUGUCGCGAGACCAAAGUGUUUAGACAUGCCAUUUGAUGAACCCAUAUGGGAUUAGCUAGUAGGUAGGGUAAAGGCCUACCUAGGCGACGAUCUCUAGCUGGUCUGAGAGGAUGACCAGCCACACUGGAACUGAGACACGGUCCAGACUCCUACGGGAGGCAGCAGUGGGGAAUAUUGCACAAUGGGGGAAACCCUGAUGCAGCCAUGCCGCGUGUAUGAAGAAGGCCUUAGGGUUGUAAAGUACUUUCGGUAAUGAGGAAGGUAACUAUUAACAUAGUUAAUUGACGUUAAUUACGGAAGAAGCACCGGCUAACUCCGUGCCAGCAGCCGCGGUAAUACGGAGGGUGCGAGCGUUAAUCGGAAUGACUGGGCGUAAAGGGCAUGUAGGCGGAUGAUUAAGUUAGGUGUGAAAGCCCCGGGCUCAACCUGGGAAUUGCACUUAAAACUGGUUAUCUAGAGUAUU